rnacentral:rRNA from 1 species
AUUGAACGCUGGCGGCAGGCUUAACACAUGCAAGUCGAGCGGGGAAGAGUAGCUUGCUACUUAACCUAGCGGCGGACGGGUGAGUAAUGCUUAGGAAUCUGCCUAUUAGUGGGGGACAACAUCUCGAAAGGGAUGCUAAUACCGCAUACGUCCUACGGGAGAAAGCAGGGGACCUUCGGGCCUUGCGCUAAUAGAUGUGCCUAAGUCGGAUUAGCUAGUUGGUGGGGUAAAGGCCUACCAAGGCGACGAUCUGUAGCGGGUCUGAGAGGAUGAUCCGCAACACUGGGACUGAGACACGGCCCAGACUCCUACGGGAGGCAGCAGUGGGGAAUAUUGGACAAUGGGGGGAACCCUGAUCCAGCCAUGCCGCGUGUGUGAAGAAGGCCUUUUGGUUGUAAAGCACUUUAAGCGAGGAGGAGGCUACCGAGAUUAAUACUCUUGGAUAGUGGACGUUACUUGCAGAAUAAGCACCGGCUAACUCUGUGCCAGCCGCCGCCGUAA